rnacentral:rRNA from 1 species
AGUAAAGUCGUAACCAGGUUUCCGUAGGUGACCNUGCGGAGGGAUCAUUA